rnacentral:piRNA from 1 species
UUGUGAAGGGUGUUGUUUACCUAAUUCCU